GUUAUACCCCCUCCAUUCGGAAUUACUUGUCUCGAAAAUGGAUGUAUCUAGAACUAAAAUACGUCUAGAUACAUCCAUUUCCGCGACAAGUAAUUCCAAACGGAGGGAGUACUAA
rnacentral:pre_miRNA from 1 species